GUUUCUUUUUGUGUUUUCAGAUCAUGAACGACCGUGAGACGGGAGGUCCAGGGGCUUCGGCUUCGUCACCUUCAACAACGAGAAUGCCAUGAAGGAUUCGAUUGAAGGCAUGAACGGCCAAAACCUCGACGGCCGUAACAUCACCGUCAACGAGGUCUAGUCUCGUGGAAGCGUUAGGCGUUUUCUAAUGCGUCUCGACUUCAACUCCUUCUUUGAGUUCUAUUUAUUUUUGUAGCUAGAGAUCCUUGAUUGCUGAUUGUGAUGAUAGCUUGGAGCAGAAGAGCUCCAUAUAAAUUGAUGGCCAAUAAUUCACUAGGGAAUCAAAAGGUAUUUAUCAUCUUUAAUUUCACGAUCCUUCUUGGACAUUGGCUCUUUAUCAAGGAUACUGGACAGCAUAAUGAAACUUUGCCUUCAGUUUUGCUGAAACAUUGAGAAC